UGGCUUCCUGCAGCGCGGCGGGGCGCGGCGGCCGCUUCCUGCUCCUCCCCGCGGCGCGGCGGGGCGCGGCGGCUCGCUCCGCCAUUGCCGCCCUGGCGGCCCUUUCAAACGUGGGAGCCGGCAGCACGGGGCAGUCCUGACUGGCUUUCUGCAGGAAAAGUCCUUGGAAAUCUACUGCACCAACUUUUCAGAGCAAAACUUUAUGGGAGCUCUCCAACGCUUCAACCUCAAGAGGAUUCCAGGUUAUGAUAAUGACUCUUCUGCUGUGAGGAGCAAAGGAAAACAGAAGCAGAGUGGCUGGGUGAAGUUGCAGGUGUCUCUGAACUGACAGUGGAGAAGAAGAAAAGUCACUGGGAAAGCUACUAAGGUGAGUAAUACUUCUUGUGUUCUGUGGAGAUUUCUGUUUUCCUGUGUUGGACCUGUUUUCUAUUCAUUCACAUAAUGGAAUUUCACUCAGUGGAACAGCACUGGAGACGUGACCUGU
rnacentral:lncRNA from 1 species